rnacentral:rRNA from 1 species
CAGUGCCACGGUAAUACAGAGGGUGCGAGCGUUAAUCGGAUUUACUGGGCGUAAAGCGUGCGUAGGCGGCUUCUUAAGUCGGAUGUGAAAUCCCUGAGCUUAACUUAGGAAUUGCAUUCGAUACUGGGAAGCUAGAGUAUGGGAGAGGAUGGUAGAAUUCCAGGUGUAGCGGUGAAAUGCGUAGAGAUCUGGAGGAAUACCGAUGGCGAAGGCAGCCAUCUGGCCUAAUACUGACGCUGAGGUACGAAAGCAUGGGGAGCAAACAGGAUUAGAUACCCCUGUAGUCCCUGUCUCUUAUACA